rnacentral:tRNA from 1 species
UGGGGCAUAGCCAAGUGGUAAGGCAAGGGACUUUGACUCCCUCAUCGUGAGUUCGAACCUCGCUGCCCCAGCCA